CGCGCGCAAGAGAGAAUAUCCAAAGCAAGUGUCCGAAUCCAACAAACAAAAUCCGUUGUAGCUUUUCAGCUUUGGAAAUUGAACUUUUCAAGAUUGCAAAUGAAUUUCGUUAGGCAACCACUUGAUCUCUGGUUUCUGCCUUCUCUCUACGAGAUUCAAAUCCACCAAGAACAGCCCCAUCCAUCAUUCUGCAAUGUAAACAUUUCUUUUUUAAAGUCAGUUGUGGCUUCUCUUUCCUGCUUCUGUUAGUUUUCAACUGACUAGGACUUUGUUUGAUAAAUAGUCUGAAAGAGGAUUUUCGUCGGUCGGAAUUAAGGUAUAUGACCAUCAUCUUUUUACAUAAACUGGCUUUAUUUGAAUUGGCUCCUUUUCUUCGAAUAUGAAAGCUUUGUUUCACUUGGCUUUGCCUUCAGCCAACUGGUUAAGCCAUGGUAUGUGAAGCCGGGCAUGGUUAUUGAUAUGUUCCUGUGUUAUUAUUCCUGCAGUGUUUAAAGCAUUCAUCACAGUUCAACAUUGGGUUCUGGUUAAUUCUCUUUUUUCUUUGGGUAGUGUUUGUCUAGUUGGGGGAAUGCCAGCUUUAUAUAUUGGGAGAAUUUAGGGAAAUUAGUUUUCUUUGAAUAAGAAAAUUGAGAAAAUAGAAUUUUGCCUGAUACUAAAUUACUGCUGAUACAUAGAAUUAAUCAACUAAAAAAAUACGCUGCAAUCAAAAUCAUUUUUUGAGCAGAAUCCUUUUCUGCAAUAGCACUCUGGAAAGAUUAUUCGAAGAGGUUAUUCGUUUGAUUUUAUUCUCAAGAUGCUGCCCAAAAUUCACUUUUCCUAGCAAAUUUAGCCAGUCAACUGGGAAAUCCACUCUUGGGUACCAUACGUAUAAAGGAACUUGUUUGAGUCACUUUGAAUAGAUAAGAUCGCGGUGGUUAGAUUGAGGUAGUAACUAGGAAAGAAAGCACAUUGUAAAGCACCUCUGAGUUUUAUAUCUGGAAAGGAGAUUCUGGCGGUACUUACAAAAGACUUGUAAAUUCAAUUUUGAUAAAGGAAUGUUAGACAGAUCCUGAUUAAUUGAAGUUGACAAAAGAACAGUUAACAAAACAUAUGUUCGAAAGUUGAACAGAUGUUGACUAAAGGAUGUACAAAGUACAGUUACCAAAAUGCAGAAGCAAACUUUCAAAGAAUGAAGGAUGAUCAUUUGUUAGUAAGUAGUUCAAUUCCAUUUAGGUUAAUUGUAGCCCUCUUUGAUGACUAAUUUAUCAAAGGAUGCCAAAAUUUCUCAGGUUUUCUAGAAAUGUUUCUCCCACAGAAGUGCCAUCCUUAAUGAAUACAGCAGGAUAACCAAGUGGAGCUUCUACCCAGGCUUCAGAACCUUGUUCCGUGAAUAGCUUUCCUGACCAGAUAUGUUUCCAGGGAUAAGUUUCACCCUCUGGAAAAUAGGCCUUGACAUUUUGCUUGCCCUUGUCUAGAACAGGCACCACUAGUAUUUCAGUACCAAUUAAGAAUUGCUGGUAACUCAAGUUGUGCACAUGCCUAUCAUUUGGAUAGUGGAGAAAAAGGUGGCGGCAAAUGGGGAGGCCUUUCUGGGAUGCUUCCUGUUUUCAAAGAACAAGGAAUGAGAGAUUUGUUAGAUCCUCCAUUCAAGUUAACUGAAUUGAAGUGAAAAUUAGACAAAUUAAUCUCACAUAUUACCUUCACUAGUUGGCUUCUGUAGAAAUACCAAGCUUUAUACAUUUUAGCACAGCGUGCAAAAAGUGAUAAAGUUCUCUGAUUCGAGUAGAAUUGGCUGUUGCAAGUUGGCUUGUUUCCCUGCUUGGAGAAUAUAAUUGGAAUGAGCAAACUGUAAGAUCAUAUAAAUCAUUGUCCUCUGGUGAAGCAAUAAUAAUAGUUUGAUAUACAGAAAUGCAAGACAUAUCCUAUUAUUAUUUUUAAAAAUUUUCUUUUUCUAAUUCAAUUCAGUAAAUGUGUUUAUUGCUAAGUGAACAUUUGUAAAUAUUAAGGCUUUGGUAGCAUCACGGAAUCAUCAUAUUACAGAGAAAAACAAAUUGUAGGAAUUUAUGUUACUGGAGACAUAUAGUGAUUAAAACAAUAGAUGUUCCACUUAUUGUCAACUUGAUGAUUAUGAUGCGUGUUUUAUGAAUCACAGAUGAGUGUUUGAACUUACUUCAUGUGUCCGGAAAACAGUGGUGAAAGCAUUUAGUUCCAUCCAUCGAAUGAGCAACUCUUCACUUCUGUUAUACUUGAUAAAAGGCAAGUUUACUGCACAGUAGCCUCCAAUAUCACUGUGAUUGAAAGCAUAUCCAGAAAGUCCACUGCUCAGUAGGCCAACAACAGCACUUUUUAUCCCAUCAUUAGCCUGCCAACUAACCAUUUGGUCUCCUUCCCAAAAUAGCAUCCCCCAUUUGGGACUAUCCCUGAAACCGGCUCUCAUGAAGAAGACCAAAGCCUCUUCUGGGUCCUCUCUCUCCUUACCCACACGGUUUGCUUUCCAUUCUUCCACAAACUCUCGGUUUAUUUGGGCCCAUAGCUCUGGGUAUCUGUUAUGGGCAGAGAUUGGAUCUUCACCUGAAUAAAGGUUGGCAUCUACAGGCAGACCUUCGCCAAAAUCAGCCAUCCACCCUCUGACGCCAUCAUCAGCCAUUUCCUGUAAAACCUGCUUGAACCAACUUGCAGUAUCUGGGUGUGUCAAAUCCAACAUUCCCACAUUAAAAGCUGUGUUUGGAACCAUAUAUGGUUUUCCAUGUUUGUCUUUCACUAAGAUGUCCAACUUUUUGGCCUCCUCAAAAUGAUUUCUCCUUCUGUUUGGUUUCUCAUCCGCCGGAGCUAGACAAGGGUUGCAAUAUGUCAUCACUUUAAUAUGCUGAGCACCAAGAUCUUGAACUAGUUGCUUCCAUCCCUUAUACCUUGUUGUAUCCACUUCCCAGUUCCACCACAAUUGUGAUCCAAUCAAAGUCUCCCUCUGUCCUACCCAAUCCUGCAACCAAAAUGCAGAGAUGGGAACCUUAUAGGCCUGCAGUUCAUCCCAAAUGCGCCGUACGACAUCUGUUCCACCCUGCAUUCCGACAACAGCUCCAGAUAUAAUCCACUUAGGAAGCUCAGGAGGCCUCCCAAUAGUUUCUGUGAAGUGUUCAAUAAGCUCAGCAGGUGAGUUGCCAUGCAAUAUUCUUCCUAGAGCUGAAUUGCUGUGUAUCUGUAUUUGAACUCUAUCAUGUCUCGUUAAAUCAAAAACAGAGUAAUCAUAUCCAUCAAGAUAAAGAGACCUCAUCUCGGAUGUCAUGUAGAAUGGUGAAGGAGCAUAAGUUGUACUCCAAUUACCGCCAGCUCUGUAGCUAACCAAGUUGAUUGCAAAAGUAAUAGGUUGAUCUCCUCUUCCAAUCCCCUGUUCUUGAACAAAAAUGGGUACCCUUUUCCCUUUGAAGUCCAUGUGGGAAAACUGCUCUCCAAAACCAUAGAACCUCUCAUUGGCUUCACUUGAAUAGCUAAGGCAGAUUCUGUUGAACUGUGUAAACUCUGGAACCUUGGUUUCUAUUUCCUCCGAUGAAGAAACUGCAACAAACCCUCUAGGCCUUGUAAAGAAUCUACACCAUCCAAGCUUUCGUUUUCGAAUCCUUCGUAGCUUCAACCUUAACCUCUGGUAUUUUCCUAAACGAGUUGGUGAAGCUCUUCGUGGGAAUUCAAAGUUGGGUUCUCCAACUCUCACUUGAAAACCAAUCUGGUUAAGGUUCUUCUGAUCAAAGAGAACCCAAUACCUUGCGUAAGUGGGUGGGCCCGUUGUGUCAAAAUCUAUAUGCUUGUAAAUGCUAGAUUCUGGAAGUCUCUUCUUUCUUUUGCUGAAUAACUUGCCUGUUAUUAACAAAACAGGAAAUUGGGUAUCUUUCAAAUCUUUUCUCUGGUCAAAACUUGAACACCGAGAUGAAGAAUCAAGAUCACUAGCCUCCUCUAAAUGGUUACCAUCCAACUUAUUGAUCACUCUUAUAUCUUCAAUCGUUUGGUGGUCACAAACCACAAGAACGUUCCCAUCUUUUAUAGCAAAGGAUCCCCUGCUUUCUUCAAUCUCUGUCUCAGCCAAAGCUGCAGAGACAAAAGCUUGUCCAGGAAUGGUGGACCAGAGGGCUCUUGUUGGUUGAGACUGGUGAGAAAUUGAGAGAUACCCACCAUUUCUAGAGCUCCAAAGAAGCUGGAAAUCUCUCCCAACUGGGAAGAUUUGGUGUGAAGGCAGUGUUCGGGAAUUGGCAAAAAGGCUUCCUUGAAUGAAGGGAAGAGACCUUGGCGUUGAUGGGAAGGGGUUGUUUAGGUGCCUGUGGUGCUUUUGGGUGAUCUUGAGGGUUGCCAUGUUGGCGUUAAUAGAACUUGUUAGUUUAUUAUAAUUUAUUUAUAGAUUUAGAAACGCGUCAUUUUUUCAGACUUUGUGACUUUUUUUGUUGGAAAAUUCUUAUAUUUCUUUGCUUAAAAUCGUAAUGUAAUUG
rnacentral:misc_RNA from 1 species